GUGCCAGCAGCCGCGGUAAUACGUAGGUGGCAAGCGUUGUCCGGAAUUAUUGGGCGUAAAGCGCGCGCAGGCGGUCCUUUAAGUCUGAUGUGAAAGCCCACGGCUCAACCGUGGAGGGUCAUUGGAAACUGGGGGACUUGAGUGCAGAAGAGGAAAGUGGAAUUCCAAGUGUAGCGGUGAAAUGCSCUAGAGAUUUGGAGGAACACCAGUGGCGAAGGCGACUUUUUGGUCUGUAACUGACGCUGAGGCGCGAAAGCGUGGGCGAGCAAACAGGAUUAGAUACCCUGGUAGUCC
rnacentral:rRNA from 1 species